rnacentral:rRNA from 1 species
AAUGAACGUUGGCGGCGUGGAUUAGGCAUGCAGGUCGCGCGUGUACCCGCAAGGGGAAAGCGGCGUAAGGGACAGUAAUGUGUAGGUAUCUACCCUGGGGGUCGGGAAUAGCCACGGGAAACUGUGGGUAAUGCCCGAUAACAUCUCCGGAUCAAAGGUGUGAUUCCGCCCUGGGAUGAGCCUGCAUCCUAUUAGCUAGUUGGUGAGGUAACGGCUCACCAAGGCAAUGAUGGGGAGGGGGUGUGAGAGCACGACCCCCCGUCACUGGGACUGAGACACUGCCCAGACACCUACGGGUGGCUGCAGUCGGAGGAUCUUCGGCAAUGGGCGCAAGCCUGACCGAGCGACGCCGCGUGCGGGAUGAA